GUAAGCCAAAUGGUCGCGCAUACUAAUGCCGAAAGGCUGUAUGUGAGGAAAGUCCGAGCUCCAUAGGGUAGGAUGCCAGAUAACGUCUGGUGGAGGCGACUCCAAGGAUAGUGCAACAGAAAUAAACCGCCAAGUUUUACUUGGUAAGGAUGGAAAGGUAAGGUAAGAGCUUACCGCCCUUUUGGCGACAAAAGGGGCAUAUGUAAACCCCAUCUGGAGCAAAACCGCAUAGAAGAGCAUAUAGUGGUGACCCGUCACGCUCUUGGGUAGGUUGCUAGAGCUUACUGGUGACAGUAAGUCGAGAUAGAUGACCAUUCAUGACAGAACUCGGCUCAUCGGCUUGCUCAU
rnacentral:RNase_P_RNA from 1 species